AGUGAACGCUGGCGGUAGGCCUAACACAUGCAAGUCGAACGGCAGCACAGUAAGAGCUUGCUCUUACGGGUGGCGAGUGGCGGACGGGUGAGGAAUACAUCGGAAUCUACUUUUUCGUGGGGGAUAACGUAGGGAAACUUACGCUAAUACCGCAUACGACCUACGGGUGAAAGCAGGGGAUCUUCGGACCUUGCGCGAUUGAAUGAGCCGAUGUCGGAUUAGCUAGUUGGCGGGGUAAAGGCACACCAAGGCGACGAUCCGUAGCUGGUCUGAGAGGAUGAUCAGCCACACUGGAACUGAGACACGGUCCAGACUCCUAAGGGAGGCAGCAGUGGGGAAUAUUGGACAAUGGGCGCAAGCCUGAUCCAGCCAUACCGCGUGGGUGAAGAAGGCCUUCGGGUUGUAAAGCCCUUUUGUUGGGAAAGAAAAGCAGCAGGUUAAUACCCCGCUGUUCUGACGGUACCCAAAGAAUAAGCACCGGCUAACUUCGUG
rnacentral:rRNA from 1 species